GCAAAUGAUAUUUUGUUAUAAUCUUAUUGCAAAAGUAUAAGUUGCUACUAUAUUUCUCAGCUAUAUAGUAGUUUUUGACAAUUUUCUCCUUUUGUGCAGGGGAUUUUAACUUGAACAAUUUUGAAGAUGGAGUUUUAUCAUUUGUUUUUAUGAUUGAACAAUUUUUGUUGAGCAGUUAAAACAAUAGUACGUACCAAAUAUAAUAAUUUUCUUAUGUUUUAUAUAUUCUUCUCGUGCCUAUCAUGUGUAUGAGGAUGUGCAAGGGAUCAAAGACACCUUGUCAAUUGUGAAAGGUGUGUUGUUGGAUGCUAAGGAGAAGAGGGAGCAGAAGCAUGGGUUGCGUGAAUGGCUCAGGCAGAUUCAAAACGUAUGCUUAGAUGCUGAAGAUAUAUUGGAUGGAUUUCAGUGCCAAAACUUAAGAAAGCAAGUUGUCAAAGCUUUAGGCAACACCAGAAUGAAUGAAAAAGAAAUAUCUUUUUGGCAGCCAAUGAUAUGCUUCUAUUCAUGCUGAAAUGGUACGAGAAGUUUCCUUCCUACAGAUCAAGGGAGCUGUUUCUUACUGGAGAAAGCUAUGCAGGACAUUAUAUACCACAGUUAGCUAAUGCUAUUUUGGACCACAAUGCUAAUUCAGCUGGUUUCAAAUUCAAUAUUAAAGGAGUUGCUGUAAGAUCCCUUUCAUGUGAUAUCUUUUUGGCAUUAUUUUACUCAUUUAUUUUUGCGUUGCUUUUAGACUAGUCUC